CAGUAACAUGUACUGGAGGAACCGAACCCACUCCCGUUGAAAAGGUAGGGGAUGACCUGUGGUUAGGGGUGAAAAGGCCAAAUCAAACUCGGAAAUAGCUGGUUCUCCGCGAAAUCUAUUGAGGUAGAGCGUCGGGAUAGGACACCACCGGGGGUAGAGCACUGGAUGGGCUAGGGGGGCGCGAGCCUUACCAAACCUAACCAAACUCCGAAUACCGGUGAGUGAUUGCCCGGCAGGCAGACCAUGGGUGCUAAGGUCCUUGGUCGAGAGGGAAACAGCCCAGACCGCCAGCUAAGGUCCCCAAGUGGUGGCUAAGUGGGAAAAGGAUGUGGGAAAGGCCAAGACAGCCAGGAGGUUGGCUUAGAAGCAGCCAUCCUUUAAAAGAAAGCGUAAUAGCUCACUGGUCUAGACAAGCCGUCCUGCGCCGAAAAUGUAUCGGGGC
rnacentral:rRNA from 1 species